rnacentral:rRNA from 1 species
GACGUAGGGCGCGAGCGUUGUCCGGAUUUAUUGGGCGUAAAGAGCUCGUAGGCGGCUUGUUGCGUCGACCGUGAAAACCCGGGGCUCAACUUCGGGCUUGCGGUCGAUACGGGCGGGCUAGAGUUCGGUAGGGGAGACUGGAAUUCCUGGUGUAGCGGUGGAAUGCGCAGAUAUCAGGAGGAACACCGAUGGCGAAGGCAGGUCUCUGGGCCACUACUGACGCUGAGAAGCGAAAGCAUGGGGAGCGAACAGG